GCUCUCAGAGGAUAAUAGCCAUCCAUUGGUCUUAGGAACCAAAAAUUCUUGGUGCAAAUCCAAGUGACAGCU
rnacentral:tRNA from 1 species